rnacentral:rRNA from 1 species
GAUGAACGCUGGCGGCGUGCCUAAUACAUGCAAGUCGAGCGAACGGACGAGAAGCUUGCUUCUCUGAUGUUAGCGGCGGACGGGUGAGUAACACGUGGAUAACCUACCUAUAAGACUGGGAUAACUUCGGGAAACCGGAGCUAAUACCGGAUAAUAUUUUGAACCGCAUGGUUCAAAAGUGAAAGACGGUCUUGCUGUCACUUAUAGAUGGAUCCGCGCUGCAUUAGCUAGUUGGUAAGGUAACGGCUUACCAAGGCAACGAUGCAUAGCCGACCUGAGAGGGUGAUCGGCCACACUGGAACUGAGACACGGUCCAGACUCCUACGGGAGGCAGCAGUAGGGAAUCUUCCGCAAUGGGCGAAAGCCUGACGGAGCAACGCCGCGUGAGUGAUGAAGGUCUUCGGAUCGUAAAACUCUGUUAUUAGGGAAGAACAUAUGUGUAAGUAACUGUGCACAUCUUGACGGUACCUAAUCAGAAAGCCACGGCUAACUACGUGCCAGCAGCCGCGGUAAUACGUAGGUGGCAAGCGUUAUCCGGAAUUAUUGGGCGUAAAGCGCGCGUAGGCGGUUUUUUAAGUCUGAUGUGAAAGCCCGCGGCUCAACCGUGGAGGGUCAUUGGAAACUGGAAAACUUGAGUGCAGAAGAGGAAAGUGGAAUUCCAUGUGUAGCGGUGAAAUGCGCAGAGAUAUGGAGGAACACCAGUGGCGAAGGCGACUUUCUGGUCUGUAACUGACGCUGAUGUGCGAAAGCGUGGGGAUCAAACAGGAUUAGAUACCCUGGUAGUCCACGCCGUAAACGAUGAGUGCUAAGUGUUAGGGGGUUUCCGCCCCUUAGUGCUGCAGCUAACGCAUUAAGCACUCCGCCUGGGGAGUACGACCGCAAGGUUGGAACUCAAAGGAAUUGACGGGGACCCGCACAAGCGGUGGAGCAUGUGGUUUAAUUCGAAGCAACGCGAAGAACCUUACCAAAUCUUGACAUCCUUUGACAACUCUAGAGAUAGAGCUUUCCCCUUCGGGGGACAAAGUGACAGGUGGUGCAUGGUUGUCGUCAGCUCGUGUCGUGAGAUGUUGGGUUAAGUCCCGCAACGAGCGCAACCCUUAAGCUUAGUUGCCAUCAUUAAGUUGGGCACUCUAAGUUGACUGCCGGUGACAAACCGGAGGAAGGUGGGGAUGACGUCAAAUCAUCAUGCCCCUUAUGAUUUGGGCUACACACGUGCUACAAUGGACAAUACAAAGGGCAGCGAAACCGUGAGGUCAAGCAAAUCCCAUAAAGUUGUUCUCAGUUCGGAUUGUAGUCUGCAACUCGACUACAUGAAGCUGGAAUCGCUAGUAAUCGUAGAUCAGCAUGCUACGGUGAAUACGUUCCCGGGUCU